rnacentral:rRNA from 1 species
UACGUAGGGUGCAAGCGUUGUCCGGAAUUAUUGGGCGUAAAGAGCUCGUAGGCGGUUUGUUGCGUCGGCUGUGAAAUCCCGAGGCUCAACCUCGGGUCUGCAGUCGAUACGAGCAAACUAGAGUGUUGCAGGGGAGACUGGAAUUCCUGGUGUAGCGGUGAAAUGCGCAGAUAUCAGGAGGAACACCUGUGGCGAAGGCGGCCAUCUGGACAACUACUGACACUGAGACGCGAAAGCGUGGGUAGCAAACAGG